GGUCGCAAUAACAUGACGGGUGCAAACAUACCAGCACCCAUCAGAACUCUGUAGAUAAGCAUGCUUGGGAGAGAAUAGUACUAGGAUGGGUGACCUCCUGGGAAGUCCUCGUGUUGCACACU
rnacentral:rRNA from 1 species